ACAAAUGCACAUCGGAGAGCGAUGUUGUGCUUGCAUACGCGAGUGGAAAGUUUCUUUGUCUUACAAAUUCGUUGUUUGUGGCCACAAAAGUUACUGUGUGUGUGGAAAUAUACGUAUAUUUUCGUGAGGUUUUAUGCUGUGUGCUUUAGAAAUGUCUUAUGUGAAGUAAUAUCAGUGUAAUAUGAACGAGACUGAGAGGCCAGAGAAGGACCACAGAAAAGCCAAGACAAUGCCACAACCCCGGAGGUGGAUUUUCAGUGCUGGCGCCACUAGGCGGAGCAACAUGGCGGCGUCUUAGCCUGACGAGGCACAGAUCCGGGGAACAUCGACUUAAGUACACCAGCCGCCAAUGAUGUGAGACAACGUCACGGAUUUGAGGCGGGGUUACGUCGAUGACGUCAGAGGCCCCUCCUCUGUUUGGACGGUGGCGCUACCUGUGCGGGGGGACCGAGAAGUGAGGUCGUGUGAGUAGUGUUAUCUUGGCAGCCGUGGAAGACGGAAGUUACUCUCGUUAAGUGCGUGGCAACCGCUCAGCGGACACUGACGAUUUAACUCUGUCGUCGACGGCGAUCUCGAGGUGUCUUGUCGGUACGACGUUUUCCGUCUUGUGUCUGUGUUCGUAAUAAUAUAUUUUUUUUUAAGCUGACGUGAGGAAGGAAGAGAUAUUAAAAGGGAAACGUAAAUGAAAAGAUACUAGCAUAAUUUCUGAUUGAAUCCGCGGUAAAUUGGACGACAUGUGUGUGUGUGUUGUGUUUUUUUAUUAAGGAAGAUUUUAAUCGGAUUGUUAUUUUAAAACAGAGUACACACUUCGUGGCAGUUCGAAAUUUUUCCUUUUGUUUCUCUGUCAACAGAACGCAAACAGCGCGAGUUUCGUUCUUCAAUUUCCACCCCCACUCCUCCCCCUCCGAAGUGUAAUUGACCCAAUCGCGUCAUCUGUAAUUGGCUGUCAUUUAUAUUCCGAAAUAAUGAGGGCUAUUACCGUGGUUCUGUGAUCGUUGUGUGGAAUUUUUUUUUAAUUCUCGUCGAAGAUCAUUCUUUUAUGGAGACAUCUAAAUCGAUUGUUUACAUAAGUGACUUCGAUAUUUAUUGUUGUGAAGUGGAUAUAACUGAACAUCGCCUUCGAAUGAAUUAACGCUGGAAUUCUUUUACUCCAAGAAUCUUUUUUUCUUGGGAGAUUUUUAAGAUUCGCUGAGGGGAUAUCGUGAAGUGAUCACAUACACAGAGAGGCAACUGUUUCUUUGUAAGGAUUCGUUUUGAAGAAUUGUGAUAGGUGUGAAAAAGACGAUAAACGAUGUUUUUCUCAGUUGUCACGUAAUUUCUGUGUGUCUGUGUGUUUUGGAGUUGUGUUUCCUGACGUUUCGGUGUACCCCAGAUCGUACUGUCGUGGAGUACAGUUGGUAGAUCUGAGCACGUUUUUUUUUUCUUUUUAUCAAGUGUUUAUUUGCGAGAAACUCUCACGCUGCCAACAUGAGGUAGCAGUGUUCACGGUGACUGGCUUUGUUCACGCUGGACAUCGCUGCCCGGUUCGCGUACACCUCUGCCCUAGUACCCUCGGGUCCCACACUAGUCGCAACGGCAGGUUUCGGCUUCAAUCCCCACCACCCCCAUCACCAUCACCCCUUCUCAUCUCCAUCUUCCACCCCAGCAACUCCGACCUCGCCAGGUGGUUGCUGGAAGUCCGCCCUGACGAUAGUCCCCAC